UACGUAGGGUGCAAGCGUUUGUCCGGAAUUAUUGGGCGUAAAGAGCUCGUAGGCGGUUCGUCGCGUCGGCUGUGAAAUCCCGAGGCUCAACCUCGGGUCUGCAGUCGAUACGGGCGGACUGGAGUUCGGCAGGGGAGACUGGAAUUCCUGGUGUAGCGGUGAAAUGCGCAGAUAUCAGGAGGAACACCGGUGGCGAAGGCGGGUCUCUGGGCCGAUACUGACGUGAGGAGCGAAAGCGUGGGGAGCGAACAGG
rnacentral:rRNA from 1 species